AAAGAAACCAACAGGGAUUGCCUUAGUAGCGGCGAGUGAAGCGGCAAAAGCUCAAAUUUGAAAUCUGGCACUUUCAGUGUCCGAGUUGUAAUUUGAAGAAGGUAUCUUUGGGUCUGGCUCUUGUCUAUGUUUCUUGGAACAGAACGUCACAGAGGGUGAGAAUCCCGUGCGAUGAGAUGUCCCAGACCUAUGUAAAGUUCCUUCGAAGAGUCGAGUUGUUUGGGAAUGCAGCUCUAAGUGGGUGGUAAAUUCCAUCUAAAGCUAAAUAUUGGCGAGAGACCGAUAGCGAACAAGUACAGUGAUGGAAAGAUGAAAAGAACUUUGAAAAGAGAGUGAAAAAGUACGUGAAAUUGUUGAAAGGGAAGGGCUUGAGAUCAGACUUGGUAUUUUGUAUGUUACUCUCUCGGGGGUGGCCUCUACAGUUUACCGGGCCAGCAUCAGUUUGAGCGGUAGGAUAAGUGCAAAGAAAUGUGGCACUGCUUCGGUAGUGUGUUAUAGUCUUUGUCGAUACUGCCAGCUUAGACUGAGGACUGCGGCUUCGGCCUAGGAUGUUGGCAUAAUGAUCUUAAGUCGCCCGU
rnacentral:rRNA from 1 species